rnacentral:tRNA from 1 species
AGAAAAAUAGAAAAAAAUAAGCUUAUGGGCUCAUACCCCAUAUAUGAAUAUCAAAUUCUUCCUG